GACGAACGCUGGCGGCGUGCCUAAUACAUGCAAGUUGAGCGCUUAAGGUUGGUACUUGUACCGACUGGAUGAGCAGCGAACGGGUGAGUAACGCGUGGGGAAUCUGCCUUUGAGCGGGGGACAACAUUUGGAAACGAAUGCUAAUACCGCAUAAAAACUUUAAACACAAGUUUUAAGUAUGAAAGAUGCAAUUGCAUCACUCAAAGAUGAUCCCGCGUUUUAUUAGCUAGGUGGUGAGGUAAAGGCUCACCAAGGGGAUGAUACAUAGCCGACCUGAGAGGGUGAUCGGCCACAUUGGGACUGAGACAAGGCCCACACUCCUACGGGAGGCAGCAGUAGGGAAUCUUCGGCAAUGGACGAAAGUCUGACCGAGCAACGCCGCGUGAGUGAAGAAGGUUUUCGGAUCGUAAAAAUCUGUUGGUAGAGAAGAACGUUGGUGAGAGUGGAAAGCUCAUAAAGUGACGGUAACUACCCAGAAAGGGACGGCUAACUACGUG
rnacentral:rRNA from 1 species